GGAUUGAAGGCUGAAAUUCGCCUUCAUGAAGCCGGAAUUGCUAGUAAUGGCAGGUCAGCAUACUGCCGUGAAUACGUUCCCGGGCCUUGUACACACCGCCCGUCACACCAUGGGAGUCGGUAACACCCGAAGUCGGUAGCCUAACCGUAAGGAGGGCGCCGCCGAAGGUGGGAUUGAUGACUGGGGUGAAGUCGUAACAAGGUACC
rnacentral:rRNA from 1 species